rnacentral:rRNA from 1 species
UGGUAGUCCACGCUGUAAACGAUGUCGACUUGGAGGUUGUUCCCUUGAGGAGUGGCUUCCGGAGCUAACGCGUUAAGUCGACCGCCUGGGGAGUACGGCCGCAAGGUUAAAACUCAAAUGAAUUGACGGGGGCCCGCACAAGCGGUGGAGCAUGUGGUUUAAUUCGAUGCAACGCGAAGAACCUUACCUACUCUUGACAUCCAGAGAACUUAGCAGAGAUGCUUUGGUGCCUUCGGGAACUCUGAGACAGGUGCUGCAUGGCUGUCGUCAGCUCGUGUUGUGAAAUGUUGGGUUAAGUCCCGCAACGAGCGCAACCCUUAUCCUUUGUUGCCAGCGGUCCGGCCGGGAACUCAAAGGAGACUGCCAGUGAUAAACUGGAGGAAGGUGGGGAUGACGUCAAGUCAUCAUGGCCCUUACGAGUAGGGCUACACACGUGCUACAAUGGCAUAUACAAAGAGAAGCGACCUCGCGAGAGCAAGCGGACCUCAUAAAGUAUGUCGUAGUCCGGAUUGGAGUCUGCAACUCGACUCCAUGAAGUCGGAAUCGCUAGUAAUCGUGGAUCAGAAUGCCACGGUGAAUACGUUCCCGGGCCUUGUACACACCGCCCGUCACACCAUGGGAGUGGGUUGCAAAAGAAGUAGGUAGCUUAACCUUCGGGAGGGCGCUUACCACUUUGUGAUUCAUGACUGGGGUGAAGUCGUANNAGGG